rnacentral:rRNA from 1 species
GACGAACGCUGGCGGCGUGCUUAACACAUGCAAGUCGAACGGAAAGGCCCUGCUUUUGUGGGGUGCUCGAGUGGCGAACGGGUGAGUAACAAGUGAGUAACCUGCCCUUGACUUUGGGGUAACUUCAGGAAACUGGGGCUAAUACCGGAUAGGAGCUCCUGCUGCAUGGUGGGGGUUGGAAAGUUUCGGCGGUUGGGGAUGGACUCGCGGCUUAUCAGCUUGUUGGUGGGGUAGUGGCUUACCAAGGCUUUGACGGGUAGCCGGCCUGAGAGGGUGACCGGCCACAUUGGGACUGAGAUACGGCCCAGACUCCUACGGGAGGCAGCAGUGGGGAAUAUUGCACAAUGGGCGGAAGCCUGAUGCAGCAACGCCGCGUGCGGGAUGACGGCCUUCGGGUUGUAAACCGCUUUCGCCUGUGACGAAGCGUGAGUGACGGUAAUGGGUAAAGAAGCACCGGCUAACUACGUG